CUUACCCAUUUCCGGGGGAUAACAGUUGGAAACAGCUGCUAAUACCGCAUAAGCCUAAGGGUAAAAGAAGUAAUUCGGGAAUGGAGAGACUCGCGUCCUAUCAGCUAGUAGGUGAGAUAAGAGCUCACCUAGGCUAAGACGGGUAACCGGACUGAGAGGUCGAACGGUCACACUGGAACUGAGACACGGUCCAGACUCCUACGGGAGGCAGCAGUGGGGAAUUUUGGGCAAUGGGGGGAACCCUGACCCAGCGACGCCGCGUGAGUGAAGAUUUUCCUCGGAAUGUAUAGCUCUGUUGUAUGGGAAGAUAAUGACGGUACCAUACGAGGAAGCCCCGGCAAACUACGUGCCAGCAGCCGCGGUAAUACGUAAGGGGCAAGCGUUGUCCGGAAUUACUGGGCGUAAAGCGCACGCAGGCGGAAUUGUAAGUCCGUUGUAAAAUUCAGAGGCUCAACCUCUGUCUGUCGGCGGAUACUGCAAAUCUAAAGUAUGUGAAAGGGAAGUGGAAUUCCUGGCGUAGCGGUGAAAUGCGUAAAUAUCAAGAGGAACUCCGGUGGCGAAAGCGACUUCCUGGCACAAGACUGACGCUCAUGUGCGAAAGCUAGGGUAGCGAACGGGAUUAGAUACCCCCGGUAGUCCUAACCGUAAAUGAUGGAUACUA
rnacentral:rRNA from 1 species